GACGAACGCUGGCGGCGUGCCUAACACAUGCAAGUCGAGCGAAGUAUAUCUGAGGGAAAUUUUCGGAUGGAACUUAGAUAUAUCUUAGCGGCGGACGGGUGAGUAACGCGUGAGCAACCUGCCUUUCACAAAGGGAUAGCCUCGGGAAACUGGGAUUAAUACCAUAUAAAACUUGUCUUUCGCAUGAAAGAAAAGUCAAAGCGAAUAAGCGGUGAAAGAUGGGCUCGCGUCCUAUUAGCUAGUUGGUGAGGUAACGGCUCACCAAGGCGACGAUAGGUAGCCGGCCUGAGAGGGUGAACGGCCACACUGGAACUGAGACACGGUCCAGACUCCUACGGGAGGCAGCAGUGGGGGAUAUUGCACAAUGGAGGAAACUCUGAUGCAGCGACGCCGCGUGAGUGAAGAAGGCCUUCGGGUCGUAAAGCUCUGUCCUAGGGAAGGAUAAUGACGGUACCCUAGGAGGAAGACCCGGCGUAACUACGUGCCAGCAGCCGCGGUAAUGAGU
rnacentral:rRNA from 1 species